GUUAGCGAUCUAUGCAGAACAUUCCAGAGAAUCCUCCCUGUGCUUCCGCAAAGGGCACGCCUAUUUGCGGCAACCUGGCGUGCCUAGGUUUGCACCUUGGCUCUCUUUGCUGAUGCAUAUUCUGCUAACGACCGCUCAUAAACCACUUGGCCGUGAGGUUCCUCUUUCUCUUAUCCCUUAGAGGACAACUCGUGCUCGUGCAAACGGUGUGCCAAUCUGCACAGGUCCGGCGUGCCUAGACCAACGCAUUACGUCCUCUUUCAGCUGACCCUUUAUGCCUUUAGGUCUUUGUUCUUAAGCUUAAGUCAUUUACCAGCACUGUGACUGCAGGAAGAUGGGAUAGAGUAAAGCAGGACAAGAUGGAGUUUUCAGCAAAGAGGCUGAGAAAAUAUUGUAGAAAUGUGUCUCGCGACAGGCAACCAAAGCAAAAUGGUUGGUAGCUUUCGGACAUGCAUAUCCUCGGAGGUGGUCUUGGCUGAGUUGUGCUAAUGCCUUCAUACCGACCAGUGGGUCUACUGAUGCUACAGCUCUUGGGCGCGCCCCAGCAGCUGCUCCUUUCAGAUAGAAGCCUUUUGUUGUGCCCACCCAGCCUCCACAGCAGCUUGACCAGGAACUCCCAGGAGGCACACAUGGUCCAGGUCUGCUGCCACAGGGAGAGCCUUUCCCCCGAGAUCAACCAAAACCUGAUUAGACGCCCGAGCCCCAGGCCAGGAGAGCAAGCUCCUUCCACAGCCCAAACAGCAGCAGCUAUGGGGGAAAUUUUACCAUCACAAGAUAUGUCUCUUUGGCAGGAUUAAUUUAGGCUAAUUAUUUGUCAGAAACAGAAGACAGAUGAAGUCUUGUUGUUACCUCCCUGCAACAACCAAAUGAAUUUAGAUACAGGGCUUGUGAGAGACCAGAGUCCACUCGGCAUCUGGACACGUCCGACCUGCCUGGUGUAGCACCUUUGGUAACCAAACACCUGCUUCGCCAUCUGCAGGUCACAGGCCACCCUCUCCUUUCAAGCCCUAAGCCACGCCCUCAGCAUCCUGCCUUGUCUUUAGGGGGGUUUACCAUGACGGCUGCGGCAGUGGCUGCGGUGAUUCCUAGGUCACGGGUCUUUCCACGUGCCCAUGUUGUUACACUUUGGUUAAUUUUCACCUGUUAAUCUGUCUCACGUCAACUAAUUCCUAGGCCACCAAGAAGAACCUAGAAGGGCAGGGGGAAAUAUCUUGCCUUCAAACCAGCGACAAGCCCAGCCAAUAAGACCAUAGCAGCUCAGCGCUGUGAGCCACUGCCGCCCAAAAGACCCGAUUCCUCCAACAGACGUCCACACAGCCGCCCCUCCCACUGCCUCCUUCCCUGAAAGGUCAUAGCCUGGUUGUUUGCUGAAUCGGAUGCUAGUUUCCUUAUAGCUUGUUUGUCCUGAAUUGCAAUCAUCUGCUCUUCCUAAAAAAACCCAUUUCGUUGGUAAAAUACCUCGCUAUUUUUAAGAGGUCCCAAGUGAGCUGGGUCCGGGCGAGCGAGCUGACCCGACCCUGCCCACACAGCCCCACAGCCAAGGACCCAUCCGGCCCACACUCCAGCUCCACCCUGGAGUCACCCCAACUCCUAUGUGACACGGCGGGGGGCCGGAGGGAGGGAGGAGAGGCGGGGGCUGCGGGGACAUGCAGGCCCUG
rnacentral:lncRNA from 1 species